CCUUCAUGUAGUUCCAACCCUCAUGCCAAGGUAUCCCUUGGUCAAGGGAUACGUUCCACUUGACCAUGGCCCAAAGGCCCGUCCAACCCAGCCUUGAACACUUGCAGGAAUGGGGCGCCUACAGCUUCUCUGGACAAACUGCACCUGGUGCAACAGGAAGCACUGCUGUUUCCACUGUCACCUCAUGUUGGGCAAAAAAGUCAUCACAGGAAAAAGGAUAGAUCAGCAGGGCCAGGUGUUUUCCAUGACGUAUACUCAGUUCAUAGAAUCAUGGAAUCAUAGAAUGGUUUGUGUUGGAAGGAACGUUUGAGAUCAUUUUGUUCCAGCCCUCUGCCAUAGACAAGGACAUGUUCCACUAGACCAGGUUGCUCAAAGCCCCAUCCAGCCUGGCCUUGAACACUUCCAGAGAUGGACUAUCCACAGCUUCUAGUGGCAACCUGUGCCGAAGCCUCACCAUUCUCACCCUAAACUUAGUGUAGAACAGACCCUGUGCCAGUUCCUCUAAAUGAUCUUUAGAAUUAUGGGAUCAUUAAAUUUGGAAAAGCCCUCCAA